rnacentral:rRNA from 1 species
UACGGAGGAUGCAAGCGUUAUCCGGAAUUAUUGGGCGUAAAGCGUCCGCAGGUGGUUAAUCAAGUCUAUUGUUAAAGCGCGAGGCUGAACUUCGUAAGGGCGAUAGAAACUGAUUAACUAGAGUUUGGUAGGGGUAGAGGGAAUUCCCAGUGUAGCGGUGAAAUGCGUAGAUAUUGGGAAGAACACCGGUGGCGAAAGCGCUCUACUGGGCCUGAACUGACACUGAGGGACGAGAGCUAGGGGAGCGAAA